ACGAACGUUGGCGGCGUGGAUUAGGCAUGCAAGUCGAACGAAUCCCGCCGGGGUAACUCGGCGGGGGAAGUGGCGAAAAGGGGCAGUAAGGCGUGGGUAACCUACCCCGGGGACCGGGGAUAGCCGCCCUAACGGGCGGGUAAUACCGGGCGAUGUGACGCGAAGGCAUCUUUGUGUCACGAAACGAAUUUCGCCUCGGGCGGGGCUCACGUGGGUAUUAGCUCGUUGGCGGGGGUGACGGCCCACCAAGGCCUCCGAUGCCUAGCAGGUGUGUGAGAGCACGACCUGCGCCACUGGCACUGCGACACUGGCCAGACUCCUACGGGAGGCUGCAGUCGAGGAUCUUCGGCAAUGGGGCGCAAGCCUGACCGAGCGACGCCGCGUGUGCGAUGAAGGCCCUCGGGUUGUAAAGCACUGUCGAGGGGGGAGGAAAAGCCCGCAAGGGCCUGACCUAUCCCUGGAGGAAGCACGGGCCUAAGUUUCGUGCCAGCAGCCGCGGGUAAGACGAACCGUGCGAACGUUGUUCGGAAUCACUGGGCUUAAAGGGCGCGUAGGGCGGGCCGGCCAGUCCGGGGUGAAAGCCCACGGCUUAACCGUGGAAGGGCCUUGAAUACUGCCGGCCUUGAGGGAGGUAGGGGCACGUGGAACUUCCGGUGGAGCGGUGAAAAUGCGUUGAUAUCGGAAGGAACGCCGGUGGGCGAAAGCGACGUGCUGGCCCUCUGCUGACGCUGAGGCGCGAAAGCCAGGGGAGCGAACGGGAUUAGAUACCCCGGUAGUCCUGGCCCUAAACGAUGGGUACUAGGUAGUGGACUUGACAUGGGUUCACUGCCGAAGCAAAAGUGGUAAGUACCCCGCCUGGGGAGUAUGGUCGCAAGGCUGAAAACUCAAAGGAAUUGACGGGGGGCUCACACAAGCGGUGGAGCAUGUGGCUUAAUUCGAGGCUACGCGAAGGAACCUUAUCCCGGGCUUGACAUGUGCGAAAGCGGAAGGAAGUACCCUGCGGAAACGUUAGGGGAACGGUAUCCAACCCGGAACCUUCUACAGGUGCUGCAUGGCUGUCGUCAGCUCGUGUCGUGAGAUGUUGGGUUAAGUCCCGUAACGAGCGAAACCCUUGCCGCCAGUUUGCCAGCGAGUAACGUCGGGGACUCUGGCGGGACUGCCGGUGUCAAACCGGAGGAAGGCGGGGAUGACGUCAAGUCCUCAUGGCCUUUAUGCCCGGGGCCGCACACGUGCUACAAUGGCGCGAACAAAGGGAAGCGAGGCCCGCGAGGGGGAGCCAAUCCCAAAAAAACGCGCCCCAGUUCAGAUCGCAGGCUGCAACUCGCCUGCGUGAAGCCGGAAUCGCUAGUAAUCGCGGGUCAGCCACACCGCGGUGAAUGUGUUCCUGGGCCUUGUACACACCGCCCGUCAAUCCACGAAAGGGAGGAGCGCCCGAAGUCGCCGCACCAAGCCGGCGCCGAAGGCGAAACUCCUGAUUGGGACUAAGUCGUAACAAG
rnacentral:rRNA from 1 species